rnacentral:rRNA from 1 species
AUGAAAAUGCUUAACUGGAACUGUCGAGGGCUGGGUCGGCCUCGUACAGUUCAAGAACUAGUCUGUCUCAAUAAAUCUUACCAGCCCAACAUUAUCUUUCUUUCCGAAACAAGGCAAAAUAAAGAAUAUGUUGAGAGUUUGCGGUAUCGGUUGGGCAUGAAAAGUGUGUUUACUGUUUCAGUUAAAGGUAAAGGUGGUGGCUUAGCUGUGUUUUGGGAUGAGUGCUUCACCAUGGAGUUAAACAAAUUUGGUGAGCAUUUUAUUGAUAUGUAUAUCUCUAAUAGUGAUGGUUCAAAAUGGAGAUGCACUUUCGUUUAUGGAGAACCGAAAGCAUGUCAAAGGUAUGUCAUGUGGGAGCUCCUACGAUGGGUAAAAUCUCUUGGUUCUGGGCCAUGGUGUCUGGUGGGUGAUUUUGAAUGA